UAACGCGAAGAACCUUACCUGGGUUUGACAUGCACCAGACGCUGGUAGAGAUAUCAGUUCCCUUGUGGUUGGUGUGCAGGUGGUGCAUGGCUGUCGUCAGCUCGUGUCGUGAGAUGUUGGGUUAAGUCCCGCAACGAGCGCAACCCUCGUUCCAUGUUGCCAGCGGGUUAUGCCGGGGACUCAUGGGAGACUGCCGGGGUCAACUCGGAGGAAGGUGGGGAUGACGUCAAGUCAUCAUGCCCCUUAUGUCCAGGGCUUCACACAUGCUACAAUGGCGAGUACAGAGGGCUGCGAGACCGUGAGGUGGAGCGAAUCCCUUAAAGCUUGUCUCAGUUCGGAUCGGGGUCUGCAACUCGACCCCGUGAAGUCGGAGUCGCUAGUAAUCGCAGAUCAGCAACGCUGCGGUGAAUACGUUCCCGGGUCUUGUACACACCGA
rnacentral:rRNA from 1 species